rfam:Physcomitrella patens subsp. patens PHYPAscaffold_266 genomic scaffold, whole genome shotgun sequence.
UUCGUCAGCGUGGAGCUUUCUUCGGUCCAAUAGUGGCUGAGUCGAAGGUUGUGCUGCUGCCGACUCAAACUUCCGGCUUCCCUAUCCAACCCCUGGUAUGGAAUCCGAAUGUCUGAUACGGGAGCUGUUCAAUCUCCGGCUUAGCAUCUCUUGGACUGAAGGGAGCUCCCCGCUGUAUAAGC